rnacentral:rRNA from 1 species
AGAGUGUUGGGGUUAAGUCCCGCAACGAGCGCAACCCUUGCCUUUAGUUGCCAGCAGUUCGGCUGGGCACUCUAAAGGGACUGCCGGUGUUAAACCGGAGGAAGGUGGGGAUGACGUCAAGUCCUCAUGGCCUUUAUGACCAGGGCUACACACGUACUACAAUGGCCGAUACAAAGGGCAGCGACACUGCGAGGUGAAGCCAAUCCCGUAAAAUCGGUCUCAGUCCGGAUUGGAGUCUGCAACUCGACUCCAUGAAGUUGGAAUCGCUAGUAAUCGUGGAUCAGCAUGCCACGGUGAAUACGUUCCCGGGCCUU